ACUUGCCAAAUUUAUCUUCAUAUAUAAUAACAACAGUGCUUAAAGUUUGUGUCUGAUCAUGGAUACGUAGGUAUUUUGCCUUUAUUAUCGUUCUUUAUCAAAUACUUAUAUAUGUAAAUCCUCUUAGAGUACAAAGCCUUCAAUACAAGGUUCUGGAAAUUAUAAAAAUAAAAAUUCAAUUAAUGGAUUCCAACAAAAUGAAUAAAUCAUAGUCCAUACAUAUUCUUAAAGGACUUUUGUGUACUCUCUUGGUUCUUGCACAACAUACAAAAUCACUUGGGAUUAGGUUUUUAUUUGAACUACGGUCUAACACAUUUAUAAAUACCGUUGACACACUUCACGACCAAAUAAGACGGACACAUAUUUUUUGCACAAUCAUCAUCUCUGAAACAUUUUCUACGACCAACCGUUUCAAUGAAAAAAGAGAAUAAAAAAAUGUAACUAAAAUAAGAUGAAAUUAUUUUGUAAGAAGUAAAGAAGUAAAUUAUAAAAGAUAAAAAAAAAAGGAUUACCGUCAAUAUUUUUUGCAGCAAUAAAUGAGCAAAGAAAUAUAAUUAUAACACAUAUAAACUUGAAACUUUCAGCCAUAUUCUCCAACUCUAUGUAACAGUUGGUUUUAUCACUUUAUAAUUUUCAAUGCUCAUCCUCUACUUAGGUAUUCAUUUUAUGUAUCUUUAAAUGGCCCUUGUGAAGUUGUAAAAAGCCUUUUAUAAAAUUACAACAAUUAUUUUAUAUAUUUUCAAAUGUUUCUUUGAGGGUUUUGGUUCAUGUUCCCUCUCUCUUUUGUUUUGUAUAUCUUUUAUCUUCCAUAAUAUAUUAUGGGAUUGCAGCUCUUGCUGCAAUUUCCUUGUUUAAAAAAAAUGGCCCUUGUAAAGUUUAAGAAAUCUUUUAUAAAAUUAGAACCAUUAUUAAAUGUAUAUCCAUGUCUUGUGUUUGUCCCUUCAACACACUUAGUAAAAAGAAAACUUAAUUAAAAAAUUGACCAAUCAUAAGAGUUCAUUAUAUUUUUAAUAAAUUUCAAAAAUUGUAUAAGCUUUGAUGACCGAGAAAGGGAAAAUCUCAAAAUAUGAAUAAUAACCUAAUAAAUGUGGAUUAUUAUCUUUAAAUUAUCAACUUAAUAUAAUGAUGUCUUGAGUGAUUUCAUGAUCUAAAUCAUCUAAUAUGUGUCAAUAUAUAAUUUUAUAAAUUAAUUUAAUUUUAAUUGUUAUUUAGUCAUUUUUCAUUAUUGAUGCUUGUUAUGGUUGGUUUGUUAGACCGAAAUUAGUUGCAUAACAAAGCACCUAAUUUUUUAGGAUAACAAAGAAUGUACAAUGCAUGUAUGAGAACACUUAGGAUAAUGUUUGUUUAGAUGUGCAAAAUAUUUUAAGUAUAAGAGAAGUUUUGCUUUUGGACCAAGCUAAAGCUCUCGACACCGGUCAACACUCUGAACAACUUGUUAACACUUUGGACCUUGAUAAAUCUUAUGUCAAAGAUAAAUACUAUGAUUUCUACUACUAAUAUGAAGGUAAACUAUGUGGAAGUCAAUGUUGUGGUUUGAGGCUCUAGAUUAAGAUCGUUUGUUAGCAUUGACUCAAGGUCUCAUUAUCGAUGCCUAAAAUUACUCUUUGCUAAGAAAGGAAACAUUGUUCUGACUUGUGUACUACUAAUAUGAAGGUAAACUAUGUGGAAGUCAAUGUUGUGGUUUGAGGCUCUAGAUUAAGAUCGUUUGUUAGCAUUGACUCAAGGUCUCAUUAUCGAUGCCUAAAAUUACUCUUUGCUAAGAAAGGAAACAUUGUUCUGACUUGUGAAAAGGACUAAAAUUUAUUAAGAGCAUCAUUGAUGAAAAUGAAUGGUUGAUAUGCUGACUGCAAUUAAUCAAGAAUAAUUGAAUAUUCAAUCAAAUACUCCCUCCGUCCCAUAAUAUAAGCAAAAAAAAACUCAUUUUCAUUGUCCCAAAAUAUAAGCAAAAAAGACAAACAUUUAUCCUAUUUAAUCUUGUUUUUUUUAAAAUCUCUUUUUCAAGAAAAACUUUUGUUUAUUCUCAUAAAAUUAAAUGCAAAUUACAUUCAAUUUUCUCUCUCUUUCAUUUUUUGCAUAACCAAUGGCCAAUGAAAAUUGUUUUUACUUCUUCCUGUAACACUUUUUCCAAAGAAAACACAAAAAAUUAUACUCCAAAUUCUUAUACUUUAGUUUUCUUAAUAAGUGUGAUUCUUUAUUUUUUGCUUAUAAUUUGGAACGGAUGGAGUAUUCAAAUACAAGAUAUCUUCAACACCAAGCUUCAGCUAUAUAUAAAUACGAAGUUUGAUCGAAUAAGGUCUAAACACUUGAACAUAUUCACAUACAUACAUAUACAAGUGUAACCUGUUCAUAUACUCUUUUAAUUAUAUACAUACUUAUUUAUAAUAUAUUGUCCUCUAAAGGAACCACUUGUGUAACACCGUUGAACCCCACAAAAAAUAUUUAAUGCAAAUAAAUCAUUUAAUUAAAAGAAUUCAAGAUGUUACGUUAUCAUUUUCUCAAAAACAUGCAUAAUUUGUUUUUCAUAAAUCCUGCAGCAGAAUAAAAACAUCUUAAAUAAAUAAUAUAUAAAGAAAUUAAUUAAAUAAAAUUCUAAAAUCGGGUCGUUAUACAUGUGAGUUCCGACAGUGUUAAAAUUGUAUGUUUCUUUUCCUUUUCGGAUGUUUGCUUCUAUGUAAGAUGUCCUGGAACUCGAGAAUAGAAUUCCUCCCUUUAUAAUGCCUCCUGAGGCCUCUUGAAUCUUCAUUCUUCAUCUUCCCAAGAUCUUCACAGAUCUUCGGAUGUCUUGCAUUGCCUAUAUGCAUGAUUUCUUCGUGAAUUUACGACAAAACAUCCUAAAAUUUCUAAGUUUCAGAAAGAACAUAAUUACAUACUCAAAUAUGGAAAACAUUACAAAUGUCCAUAAAUUUUAAGUAAAUUAUUCUAAUACUCCUCUUUUGUGCUUGUUAAACCUACUGAAAUUGACUGAAAAACGUGUAAAGAAUAACGUAAUAUGACAUAUCAUCAAUAGUCACGCGACAAUAUAUCUAUUUUUGGAAGGUGAUCAACGAAAACAUCGCUGAUAUAGCCAAGAGUGGGUAUCCUUGGAACACACUUGUCUUCUUCAUGAACUCUUGUGGAGAGUGGGUGUUCUAGUAUGUGACAUGGAGGAUGAUCCUCAGCAGAAAAUUGAUUAAGAAAUUAGCCAUUAAAAAAUUUACGAUUUUGAGGCUAUCAAACAAAUCAAAUAAAGUUUAACUUGAUCUAGCAACCGACUAUUUAAUGCUUUCACAUAGUCAUAUAGUAAAAGGUGAUAUUUUCCUCUAUAAUCACAAGAACAACAAAAAAUAUUGUUGGAAAAAUGAUUAAAAUGUGAUACCCUAAACCAAAAGUGAUUUAAUUACACAAUUUGUAAAACUAAACUUAUUUAGUGAAAGCACUGUGUCUUCGGAGAUUUCCAUCUCCAUAAUAUUACUCAAUAAUAAGAUAGAUCAAAUUUUAAUACAAGUAUUAGAAAAUAGUACAAAGAAACUAACACAAUGGAGCUAGUUUACAACAUAUGUCUCAGGAUUUGUCUUAUAGAAUAUAAAUGAACGCUUAGAGAACUAAAAAGAUGGAGAAAAUGAUUAUUAGGCUUAUUUGGAGCAAGAUCUAAUAACUCAAACGAAUCUUAAUAUGAGCACACUCAACAGAAAAGUAUGCAUAAAAACAAGCACUCAAUCUUUGUUAAGUUCACUUUUUGUAUGACUAUGCUUAAUGUUCUCAAACACUCGUGAGAAUAUAAGUCCCUACUAUAUUUAGAGAAGGAAUAUUGCACGUAGGGGUCUAUGGAACCAUAGCUGGAACAGGUCUUAAUUUGUUAGGUGUCGCGAGUAUAAACAUUAAAUACUCUUUGAUCUUGGAACAUGGGAUAUCCAAUAAGGACAUAUAAGAGGUAUUUGAAUAAUCUAAUUAAUCGUCGUCAUCAAUCUAUUUCAGACCAUUAUUUUUUAUUCUCAAACAACCAUUCUUGUAAAAGCUCUCCAAUUUAUUUCUUUUAUCAUAAGUUUAGUUAAUUACCGAGUUGAAAACAACAAUCUAUGUGGAGACGAUAACUUACAACUUUUUUAUUUUUACUUGAAAAAAUUUGAUGUACUUGUUAAAAUUUGUCAACAUCUAUACCUAUUAAUAAAUGCAAUACAUUUUUGGUCUAGCCUAUUUUAUUUCCUAUUUUACCCCUAAUUAAUUGCAAAUAUUCCAUAAUAUAAACGGUUAAAAGUUAAGUUGGUUACAUUACCAUGUUUGAAAAUCAAAAUAUAACUUCUUUCCCUUACAAUCUCCUUUCCAUUACAACAUUCUGCCACAAUUUUCAUUCUACCAUUUUUUUCAGUAGCACCAUUUCAUUCCAUUGAUAUUAUUACCUUCCCAUUAAAUUUAAAGUCAUGCUUGCUCACUACAUGCGUGCAGCUUUCAGGCCUUUACAACUUACAAGGCUAUGCGUUCCUUCCAAUGACUUUCUUCUUUAUAUUAUCUUUUUUUUUUUUGUGAAGAAUUCUCUUAUAUUAUCUCUCUCAAUUUCUAUCUCAAAAUAAAACAAUGACGAUUUUAUUUCAAUCAUUAGUUUUUUUUAAGGAAUCAUCAACUUUUUUAUACUUGUUACAUUUAUCAUUGAAGUACAUAUAAUAGGGUGAUUUAUGGCAGUUUCUCUCUCUUUCUAUUUGACAAUUGCAAAUGAGAAUUGAGGAUUGACCAGUUCUAUUGUUUUUCUUCUCAGGGCAAAAAACAAAAAAACGAAAGAAAAUGAGAGACGUUCCAAAUUACAAUUGCAAGAGAGACGUUUCAUCCAAAGAUAAAGAGGAAAGCAUGACAGGGUUUCACCAAGUUUCUAUAUUUCUUUUCCCUUUUAUCAUCCAUUUAUUUUAACAAAGAGAAAUAUACAUUUCAUCCAUUUGACAAUAGGGUACAUACUUUCAUAAUACAUUUCUUAUUUUUAAUUUCGAUUUCAGUAUGAAUUUAGUUGGUGAUUUUAUUGGUCAAAUUUUUGUUUCUAUUAUAUCCUUCAUUGACUUUUUCUUCAAACUUCCCUUACAAUGAUUUAUUGUAUUCAUUUGUUUUCCUUUAGUUUUCAUAUGCAAUUCCAAUUAUAUUUUAAUCCCUUUUUUAGUGUGGAAAAUUGAUGUAACUUCUAUUAUGUUUCAAUCUUCUAAUCUUCCUUUUUUUUUGUUUGAACAUGAAUCUUCUAACCUUAAUUUGUUUUCAUUUUUUUCUUCAU
rnacentral:lncRNA from 1 species